GUGGAACAAGCUCCAAAAAAGGGGAAAUUUGCACACGUAAUGAUGGGUUUUGCAAAAAUGGCACUGAACCGUUUUGCUUAACGCUGGAUAUAGAAAUACACCUGACAGCCAAGAAAAUCCAUGUAAAAGAAAAAUGUCUACCAAAAGGCACGCCUUGUAAUAACGCACAAGUUGGUUGGCCGGAAAGUGAUUGUCCUAAGCCCCACACUAAGUAUACCAUCAAAUGUGAAAAGAAUAAAGGGACAGGUCAAAUUUGCAAAUGCAAAUGCGUUUCUAAAUAAUACGAAGGAUCAUGGCGCAGCAAGGCUUCGAGAAUUUUUGUAGUCGUAGAGUGCCGUGGCAACAUCUUCGUGGUGGUCUAGGUAUAUAAGAGUUUCGAAUGAAUAAAGUAACUUGUGUGCA